GCCUAUAGCUCAACUGGUUAGAGCAGCGGACUCAUAAUCCGUUGGUUCCAGGUUCAAGUCCUGGUGGGC
rnacentral:tRNA from 1 species